rnacentral:rRNA from 1 species
AAUAAGAGAUAACGCAGCUAUAAUGCAGUCGAACGCUUCUUUCCUCCCGAGUGCUUGCACUCAAUUGGAAAGAGGAGUGGCGGACGGGUGAGUAACACGUGGGUAACCUACCCAUCAGAGGGGGAUAACACUUGGAAACAGGUGCUAAUACCGCAUAACAGUUUAUGCCGCAUGGCAUAAGAGUGAAAGGCGCUUUCGGGUGUCGCUGAUGGAUGGACCCGCGGUGCAUUAGCUAGUUGGUGAGGUAACGGCUCACCAAGGCCACGAUGCAUAGCCGACCUGAGAGGGUGAUCGGCCACACUGGGACUGAGACACGGCCCAGACUCCUACGGGAGGCAGCAGUAGGGAAUCUUCGGCAAUGGACGAAAGUCUGACCGAGCAACGCCGCGUGAGUGAAGAAGGUUUUCGGAUCGUAAAACUCUGUUGUUAGAGAAGAACAAGGACGUUAGUAACUGAACGUCCCCUGACGGUAUCUAACCAGAAAGCCACGGCUAACUACGUGCCAGCAGCCGCGGUAAUACGUAGGUGGCAAGCGUUGUCCGGAUUUAUUGGGCGUAAAGCGAGCGCAGGCGGUUUCUUAAGUCUGAUGUGAAAGCCCCCGGCUCAACCGGGGAGGGUCAUUGGAAACUGGGAGACUUGAGUGCAGAAGAGGAGAGUGGAAUUCCAUGUGUAGCGGUGAAAUGCGUAGAUAUAUGGAGGAACACCAGUGGCGAAGGCGGCUCUCUGGUCUGUAACUGACGCUGAGGCUCGAAAGCGUGGGGAGCAAACAGGAUUAGAUACCCUGGUAGUCCACGCCGUAACGAUGAGUGCUAAAGUGUUGGAGGGUUUCCCGCCCCUUCAGUGCUGCACAAAACGCAUUAAGCACUCCCGCCUGGGGGAGUACGACCGCAAGGUUUAAACUCAAAGGAAUUGACGGGGGCCCUCCACAACCCGAGGAACCAUGUGGUUUAAUUUCCAACUCACCCCAAAGAACCUUACCAGGUCUUGAUAUCCUUUGACCGCGUCUAGAAAUAAAACUUUCCCCUUUCGGAAACAUAUG